GGGCCUGGUGGAUAGAUCUCCUACGUCAUCAAGUAUGGAGUGUAGAUCCAUGAAUAGGUCUGGUGUUAGACGAAGUGUUGACAUCGAAGAAUCAGGGAGGAGGAGUAGUGGUUCCAUGGGUGCAAGAGAUUUGCCUUAUGCUGAUGACAGGUCAAAUCGGGAUUUACCUUUGGAGAAGUCUCUAGCUGAUGAGUCAACUUCAGUUGAUUCAUCCUUUUACAAUAGACAUAGUCAAAGCAACUCUGCUUUGAUUCCUCCAUCUGCUUUCCGAGGUGGAGUUGGCAGCCCUUCUUUUCUUGGUUCACUGGACGAAGAUUGUAGAAUUAAAAGUGGUGCCCGCUACAAGAGGAGU
rnacentral:misc_RNA from 1 species